GGGGCCGUCGCUGGGAUCGUCAUCGGGUCACUGGCGGGGUCGGCGCUGGUCGGAGUCGGGGCCUAUUUCCUCUACUCUCGCUGCCGGAACGAGACCCCCAGGGAGAAUGGGGCACCCGUCCUGGUGUACGAGAACCUGCCCCUGGCAGCCAGGGCAGGGCCAGUGACACUGCAGCCCUGACAGCAGGACGUGUACAAGGAGCUGAAGAAGUGAUGCCCCCUCCUGCCCCCCAGUGCAUGCUGGGAGGGGCCCGGUGCAUGCUGGGAAAGGCGCGUCCCCGAGCCUGGGUCCCGCCGCCUGGGGACGUCCCGCCGAUGAAGCGUUAAAGGGCAGGAACAGCCACCGCCCGGCCCGGGGGGUCCGUCCGUCCAGGCUGCUUCCCUGGCGCCCAUCACCGCAGCGUCUGGGCCCCUCCAAAGAAAUCAGAAACUCGGCGCCUGUGAGUGGCUCUGGCUCCAUUGUGCCCAGCACAGUAUUUGGGAGCCCACCUCUGCCACCGGCUUGGUGACGUCUCAGGACCAAACACCCCCCAGCCUGGGGGCACGUGCCCUGUUUUCUGCCCAUCUGACCUGAGCCUGGCGCGCUGAGCUGUGUCCCACCCCAGGCCGCGGGAGCUCCCCACUGCACAGAGGGGCCCGGGCGGCUCAGUGACCAGCCUGGGUCCCAUGGGGAGUCUGUGGGGCUACAGGGACUCAGACCCGGGUCUCCCCAGUGCCCGACUGGUGCCCAAACCAGGGCCAGGGGUCCUCGCCCAGGGCUUCCCCCCGCACCCCACACACACUUCCUGGUGUUUGUUCUAAGCCUGCCGCCCAUUCCUGUCAUUUCCCGACCCCUAGUCCUUGUGUUUCGAGGAGUAAAUAACAGGAGCCUCCAGCGGCUCCUUCUCCAGCUCUGGGCUCCAGUCAAUAAACUCAGCCUGGUUGUCUC